AGUGAACGCUGGCGGCGUGCUUAGCACAUGCAAGUCGAACGAGAACGGAAUAUAGCUUGCUAUAUUUGUCAGCUAAGUGGCGCACGGGUGAGUAAUGUAUAGAUAACCUGCCCUUAAGAAAGGAAUAACAGUUGGAAACGACUGCUAAUGCCCUAUAUGCCUUUAAUACAUAAGUAUGCAAGGGAAACGCUUUAGUGCUUAAGGAUGGGUCUGUAUGGUAUCAGCUUGUUGGUGAGGUAAUGGCUCACCAAGGCUAUGACGCCUAACUGGUUUGAGAGGAUGAUCAGUCACACUGGAACAGAGACACGGUGCAGACUCCUACGGGAGGCAGCAGUGGGGAAUAUUGCACAAUGGACGAAAGUCUGAUGCAGCAACGCCGCGUGGAGGAUGACACAUUUCGGUGCGUAAACUCCUUUUAUAUAGGAAGAUAAUGACGGUACUAUAUGAAUAAGCACCGGCUAACUCCGUGCCAGCAGCCGCCGCGG
rnacentral:rRNA from 1 species